AGUAGAAGGAGGCAGAAAGAGGUGCUCUGCUUUUAGCAGUCGUGAGCAGGUUCAGCUUGCCGCCCCAACCUCCCUAGAGCAGGCCUUGGCCCCCAAGAUGGCCUGCAUGCCGAUGGAAGAGGAGGACAGCAAUGGAGAUGAGGGUGUCACGCUGUCGGGCAAACCAUGCCAGAGAGAGGGGAGAGACUGAUGGAACUGCGGAAGCCCCGGUCAUCUGCAAGCCCGAUGCUGCACCAGCCCGGUACCGUCGGCAUCAGAAAGUGUCCAGCCAACAGGGAAACGAAAGCGGAGUGGCAUAGACAGGGAACUGCCGCUGAUGGUAUAUGGCAUAGGCCUACCUGCAAAAGGAAACAUUAUAGAGGGGGGUGGGGGAAUAAUAUAAAUGCCAUACUUCUACAAAGCGCCCUACCUGGACCUCUUUGGUUUCGAACAAAAAAACGUUUGACUUUAGUCUCUACAAAGCGCCAGUGUUUCAGCUCCUGUCACUGCUCUUAUUAAUUCCCAGGAAGCACUUCCCCGAUACACUGUACCUGCCAAUUUCAU